AAUCUAUGAUGAUUCCCUUAGUAACGGCGAGUGAACAGGGAAAAGCCCAAAUUUGUAAUCUGGCACUUUUUACAAGUGUCCGAGUUGUAAUUUGUAGAGCUGUUAUCCGUACUGGACCAUGUACAAGUCUGUUGAAAAGCAGCAUCAUUGAAGGUGAAAAUCCUGUAGAUGAUAUGGACUACCAGUAUAUUUGUGAUACGGUUUCUAAGAGUCGAGUUGUUUGGGAAUGCAGCUCAAAGUGGGUGGUAAAUUCCAUCUAAGGCUAAAUAUAAGUGAGAGACCGAUAGCAAACAAGUACCGUGAGGGAAAGAUGAAAAGAACUUUGAAAAUAGAGUUAACAGUACGUGAAAUUGCUGAAAGGGAAACGUUUGAAGUUAGUUUUGUAUUCGUUGGAUCAGCUUCGCAAGGAGUGUAUUCUGAUGAUAAGCAAGUCAACAUCAGUCUAUGAGUGUUGGAUAAGGGUUUUGAGAAUGUAGCAAUUUAAUUGUGUUAUAGCUUGAGACUUGGAUACGAUGCUUUGGAUUGAGGAACGCGUAGUAAGC
rnacentral:rRNA from 3 species